GCUCUGGUGGCCUAGUGGUUAGAGCAUCAGCCUUGGAUGCAAGAGUUGUUGGUUCAAUCCCCAGCCAAGUCA